AGCUUUGUGCAGUGGCAGUAUUGUAGCCAAUGAGGUUUAUCCGAGGCGCGAUUAUUGCUAAUUGAAAACAACCACUAAUUUAU
rnacentral:snRNA from 1 species